rnacentral:lncRNA from 1 species
UGUCAAAUCAAUAAAUAAAAUCUUGAAGAAGAAAAAAAAAGACUCCAAAAGAUGGAGUAGUACACUGAGUCAAAUUGAUGUUAUCCUUCCAUUAGGACACCAGGCACUGAAGUCGCCUUUUAGGUUGAUCAACAUUUUCAACAACUUUCAAUCUUUAAUUAUAGGGGUUCAGUAAGGACAGUAUAAACUUCAUUAGUUCAAUUUAACAAAUAUCUAUGAAGUGUCUCCUAUACACAUAAGGUUUUAUGGCAAAGAUGAUUUUGGCUGUACUGUCCUUACCUUCAAAAUAACUCUUAAGAUUAAAACUUAGAGGUUGGAGCCUAUUUGCUAUGUUUGCUGUGAUUUCCAAGUCACUAAGGGCCAGCUCUUUCCAUAGAAAAAAAAAAUACAUUACAUAAAUCAAUAAAGCCUUGUCCAGUGUGAAUUGGAUUUAGAAUCCAUAUGGAGAAAUUUAUUUUGCACUGUAGAUUCUCAUAAAACACUCCAUACUUCCUAUAGCAGAGAGGAACAAUCUUGCAGUAUUCUCUUAAGACAAUCUCUCCUUAGAAGUUACAGAUUUUUCUUGUCCAGUGGCAAACUUUUCAGUUCAUGUGUGGUAGAGUCACUACCUCAAAGGUGCCUCCAAUUAGAAAAUAUUAGCCUUUUUUUAAAACAACUCUGGAGUAAUCUCUUUUCCAAGCCAAUUCACUGGUAUUAGUGAAUGUAAAAAUAAGUAUGAACCUGCAAUAGUUGCACAAAAUUCUUUCAAACAUGCCUAGAUCUAACACGGUACUAGAUGAAGUAAAGGAAAUGAAAAAUCUUAAGUUGCAGAGGCAUAAAUACCCCCUUUCUCUUACUGUUUCCUUAAAAAAACAAAAUAUUAGGCAGGUAUUUCAAAGAUUUCUUUGGAUAAAAAUAAAUUUUGUAUAUUAUAAGGGGGAUGUGACACUUCUGAGAAAAAAAGGUCAACAGAUACAGGUCAUCAAAAUGUAAUUUUUAUCUUCUUUCUUCUGACUAGUAAUUAGAUUUGAGCUUCAGAUUAAUGAUACAUUAUUCAAAUGUGUAAAAAAAAGGAUAUUCACAUCUUAAUUGAAAACUUGGGGGGUGCCUAGGUGGCUCAGUCGGUUAAGUGCCCAACUCUUGAUCUCAGCUCAGGUCUUGAUCUCACGGUUGUGAGUUCAAGCCCCAUAUUAGGCUCCACACUGGGCAUGGAGCCUACUUAAAAAGAAAAAGAAAAAAGACUUGGGUUAUUUUUAAUUCAAAACAAAAAAUGGUUGGUUGGUAUUUGUGUUGUUUAGGAUUAUGGAAUAGAUUUGAAAGUCUACCUUUAGCUUAUCAGUAGUGAAUCAAAAUUACUGAAUUUUAAAAAUGAAAAAAAUAAUGUGAAGAAAACUUUUCAUUUACUAAGGGUAGCAAAGCAUUACUAAAAUUAUAUAAACUUCAUCUUUUAAAAACACCUGGCAAAUACAAAGUUUUGUGUAUCUCUUAAGGAUAUCAACUCAUUUCCACUUUAUUAGAUUUUUUUGCUCUUUCCCAUUGAAAGCAGUUUCUUUCUAAACAAAACAAAGAAAGAUUCUCACUUGGGUUUCCAUGCUCGUUAACUAUAGUACCAAAUCUCUAUAUCAUUAAGAGAACUUUUGAUUUGUUUCAUUUAAAAGGAAAAAACCUCAAAGAAGAAUUCCACUAUCCUUAGACAUACCUAAUUCAUCCUUAAGAAUAACAAAGGCAUUACAGAAAAAUUACCUGACAGAUGAGGAUGAAAGAUAGCUCUUGCUCUUAAAUGUAAUAUAAAGAAGUGGUUUCUACUUUUGAUUAGAAAAUGAAGUACAGAUUAACAACACAAUUUCCUGGGAGUUGUAAAUUAGAAAGGUAUCAAACUCAGUGAAAAAUCUUCUCUCAAGUGAAGCUCUUUCCUUACCUAUAUUUCUCCAUUCUUUUUAACCCCUGGAUGUCUUUGUUUGGUUAUAAUAAACUCACUUUUGGUUAAGAUAAUAAGCUAUCAACUCAAAUAAUAAAUCAGAACAACUGAGAUAUGACUUUAAAAUGUUCUACAAAAUAAUGAAAGAACAACCUACUUCAGGAUUCCUAUUCAUUUAGCCCAGCCAUUAACCUUCAUUUAUUCCAAAAUGAUGUAUUAUUAUAAAGAAAAAUUCAAGGUAUGAGAACCUUCAUUUUACCUAUAUCCAAAUUUUAUAUUUAGGCAUUAUUAACUUUGAAGAUAAAUAAAUGUUCUUGUUUUCAUAACUUAAAUAUGAGCUUACAUGCAAGCAAUUUUGAUGUAAACAUUUCUAUGAGUUUUGCCACAUUUAUAGAUCAUCAUCCUCAGAACAGUCUUCAUUUGCCUGUGUUCUACAAAGACCAAAUAUCACUUAACUUUUUGAAAUCAUGAUAGAUGGAGGGAAUAUUGCUAAAUCAUCUAAAUCUAAAUCUUUAGAUGAGUAAACAUGCACUUUCAUGAUUUUUACCUAAUUUAAAAUCUCCUCUUCUAUUGUCUUUGUAAUAAAUUAAAUCUCUCUUCUACAUUUAGUAAUUUGUAGAAUGAAAUGUAUGCAUUUAGCUAGAAAUUACUUUUGUUAGAUUUUUUAUUUAAACACAUCUUCACUCACUUAGGAACUAGAAUAUAAUUCAUUCUAUUAGCUCAUUUCUCAUGCAAAGUAGUAACUUCUCUCUUUAGAAUAAUUUACCCAGAAAUAUCAUUAUUUAAGCUGUAAUAAAUUUUUUCUUUGACUGUACAUGCUUUAUUUAUUGCCACAUAUUUUUUAUCUUUAAAAUAAAUCUGCUUACAACUGUGGUCUUUAGAAGCUCUAUGACAAAAUCAAUGGCUACUCAUUUGCUAACAAAUCUGUAACUGAAUGAGCUAGUUUUUCUGUCAAUAUGAUUAAUGCGAGUAUUGUUAAAUCUAACUGAUUUGAAUAUUCAUUGGUAUUUUAUGUAGUUCAAUAUCUUUAAAAGUAUCUUUAAAACAAUACUGAAUUUCAUAGACACUAUGACAAUGAUUGGAGAUUUUUUAAAUUCCUGCACUGCUUGAAAAAUAAGGCUUAAUGUGCAUAAAUGUUUAUCAUUGAAGUUUUUAAUUUGCUUUUAAUGUGUUGUUUCUUCCUAUGCCAUGUAUAUGUGUUCAAAGAAAAUUGUAUUAAUAGAUCUAUACUAUGCAAAAAUCUCAUCUUCUUCUUACAAAUUUAGAGUUUUGAUAUAAUGUUGGUCUUUUAAGACCUCCAAGAGAAAAAAAUGUGUGAAAUGGGAGGUUUUUUUUUUUGUUUUUUUGGUUUUUUUGGUGGGGUAUAAUACUUUUUUUGAUGAGCAGUCCUAACAAAUAAGAAUGAAUAACAUUUGAUUUUAAAGAUACUAUAUGUGCUUUAUUUCUGAUACAUUAUUAAUCAUUUUCUUAAUUACAUUCCAUCUUAGAUUGUGUCAUUGAAAACCUGAAUAAUUACAGGAUAUAAAUGUUUUUGGACAUUUUUCAUAAACUAUACUUGGGUUUUUAUUUUGUAUUCAGUACAAUCUUUGACAGCUUAAUAAUGCUUCUUAAAAUGGUGGUUAUAUCUUCUAUAAUAACCUUAUUUUUAAAAAAAUCAGAGGCAUUAACACAGAACAUGGAAACAGACGAAGUUCUAUUAAAAUUUAGGAAAAGGCGAAAAGAUAAUACAAAAAGAGUUUUUUGUUAAAACUAUUACCACAUUAAAAGAAAAUCAUUAAAAAAGAGUGACUAAAAAUUAUGUCCUGUUACUCUUCUGGUAAUUUUGAAACUAAAAUUCAUUUCGAGGAUGAGAAUCUCUAAUAUAAAUGAGUCUUAAUAUUUGUUAAGAUAUAUAUGUAUAAAAUUAGAAAUUUUGCCAAGAUAUCAAAAAUAGAAAUUUAUUUUUAAAAAAUUUAUUAAUAAACUAAAUGAUCAUAAUUACUAACAUUUCCAUAUUACCAGUUCUUUUGAUUUCUAAGACCUAUAUAUAAUAAAUGAAUUUGUCAAAAAAUACAUUGAGUAUUGAACUGUCAAAGCAUUUUAUAUGUAUCAAUGAAUCAAUCUCAUUCAUGAGUUUUUUUCCUGUUAUUAAAUGCAAAAAGUUUAUAUAAAAUUCAGAUAAAAAGAUCUGAGUUGAAAGGUAAUCUUUGAAAAUCAAUUUAUGCUUUUAUGUACCAUAUAAAUUUUACAUAGUUGCAAAUGUAUAAAAAAUGUGGUAUUUGCAUAUUAAUUUUGUUAUAUGUGAUGAUCCCUACUUAGUGCUUUCAAGAAGAUUGCCUUCUUUUUUCAGGUAUUUUAAGUAUAAAAAAAGAGCCAUUUUAGAUCUUAUAUUUCCUUUCAAUAUCAGAAUGCUUAUAACUUUCCAGUUCUCAAAGAAGUUGAAGCCAAAUACCAAAACAGUAUCUAGAAAUUAUUAUUUUUGAAGUUACCCUUUUGUUUCUUUUUGUUUUUUAUGUAAUCUGGCUCAAAUGUCUCAUAAUGUGCUGGAGAAAACAAACUCUUAUUUUCUCAUGAACAGAAAUACAGUAAGAAAAAUCCAAUAUUGGACUUGGUGUAUUCAAAAUAGUGAACAAAUCUUUUUAUAGUUACUUUUCACUACUUACCGUUUAUUCAAUUUUUAAAAUUUCACCAGGUGGGAUACCUUCAACAAAAGUGAAAAGUGAUUCCAUUUUUGUAUAAACUGUUUUUUCAGAGUCUUCAAAAAUCCCUUUGAGGAAGCAAAACAUUCCCUUAUCCCACCUUAUAACUUCUCUCUACCAUUAAAUGAAAUAAUUAGGUAUCUAUAAUUUAAUGCAGAGAACAAAAACACAGCAUGAUUUCUCCAGUCAAAGCUCUGACACUAUGGGGAACAGAUAUAACAAACAAAAAAUUGAAGUUCUGUUUGCUGAUCCAAAAUUGUAUAAUUCCUAAAUUUCAAAAUUAGUAUAUAUAUACCUAUACUGUAUGUAUAUAUACAUACAUAGAUUGAUUUACUUUAAUUAUAUUUAUCUGUAAGUUCAUUUGUCCCAGUAACUAAUGUCUAUUGAACACUGUCAUAUACCAGUGUCAUGUUCUAAGUACUGAAAAAGAGUGACCAAGAUAAGAAAAAAGCCUCUGCCUCAUGGCAUUGAUUUUCUAGUGGUAAAGGUACACAAUAAAG